rnacentral:rRNA from 1 species
UAAUACGUAGGGGGCAAGCGUUGUCCGGAAUUAUUGGGCGUAAAGCGCGCGCAGGCGGCCAUUUAAGUCUGGUGUUUAAUCCCGGGGCUCAACUCCGGGUCGCACUGGAAACUGGGUGGCUUGAGUGCAGAAGAGGAGAGUGGAAUUCCACGUGUAGCGGUGAAAUGCGUAGAGAUGUGGAGGAACACCAGUGGCGAAGGCGACUCUCUGGGCUGUAACUGACGCUGAGGCGCGAAAGCGUGGGUAGCAAACAGGAUUAGAUACCCUGGUAGUCCACGCCGUAAACGAUGAAUGCUAGGUGUUAGGGGUUUCGAUACCCUUGGUGCCGAAGUAAACACAUUAAGCAUUCCGCCUGGGGAGUACGGUCGCAAGACUGAA